GAUGAAGAACGCAGCGAAAUGCGAUAAGUAGUGUGAAUUGCAGAAUUCAGUGAAUCAUCGAAUCUUUGAACGCACAUUGCGCCCCUUGGUAUUCCAUGGGGCAUGCCUGUUCGAGCGUCAUUUGUACCUUCAAGCUUUGCUUGGUGUUGGGUGUUUGUCUCGCCUUUGUGUGUAGACUCGCCUUAAAAUAAUUGGCAGCCGGCGUAUUGAUUUCGGAGCGCAGUACAUCUCGCGCUUUGCACUCAUAACGACAGCGUCCAAAAGUACAUUUUACACUCUUGACCUCGGAUCAGGUAGGGAUACCCGCUGAACUUAAGCAUAUCAAUAAGCGGAGGA
rnacentral:misc_RNA from 1 species